AGUGAACGCUGUCGGCGUGCCUAAUACAUGCAAGUCGAACAGAGUGGCGCACGGGUGAGUAAUGUAUAGCUAAUCUGCCCUCCACUAGAAGACAACAGUUGGAAACGGCUGCUAAUACUCUAUAGUGUAGGAUGAGGCUAUAUUGUAUCAGCUAGUUGGUGAGGUACUGGCGCACCAAGGCUAUGACGCAUAACUGGUCUGAGAGGAGGAUCAGUCAAACUGGAACUGAGACACGGUCCAGACUCCUACGGGAGGCAGCAGUAGGGAAGAUUGCUCAAGGGGGGAAACCCUGAAGCAGCAACGCCGCGUGGAGGAUGACACUUUUCGGAGCGUAAACUCCUUUUGUUAGGGAAGCGGUACCUAACGAAUAAGCACCGGCUAACUCCGUGCCAGCCGCCGCGGUAAUUC
rnacentral:rRNA from 1 species